CAUCUUCAUCUUCUGGAACCCAGCCUUCUGGAACCCAACCCUUCAUCGCACCCAGAAAACCCUAACCUCCAUCACGUCACCAUCUAUCUCACUGGUUCGUCGUUGUGUUAGCCAGCUCGCCAUUCCUCUUGCUGUCCUUCUCGCCGUUCUGGUCGUCGUGCUACUCGCCUUUCUCUGUCGCGGUUCUGCUCGGCUCUCUCUGUCGCGGUUCUGCUCGCUUCUCUGUCGUGGUUUUGCUCGCCGUGCUGCUCGAAGGUUAGUGCUCAGUUGUGCUCCAUCUUCGUUUUUUUAGAAAUAAAUCAAGAAAAUUGGAUGCCUUUGGGUAUAAUCAAUCAAUCAAGAGCCACCGCCUCGACUUCAGUUCUCCGAUCAGCCUCCGCGCUCACGCCAGAGCCCUCGCUCCUCUUCUCCAACUAUUCCAACGCAGCUUGGCUUCCAUGGCCAGUGAAAAUCUAUUCAAGGGAAACCUGACAAGUCUCCCCAAGCCUGGAGGUGGCGAGUUUGGAAAAUUCUAUAGCCUUCCUUCUCUCAAAGAUCCAAGAGUUGACAAGUUGCCGUAUUGUAUCAGAAUUCUCGAAUCUGCCAUUCGUAAUUGUAACAAUUUCCAAGUCAAGAAAGAGGAUGUUGAGAAGAUUAUUGACUGGGAAAACACUUCCAAAGCAAGUUGAAAUUCCUUUCAAGCCUGCGUGGGUCCUCUUGGAGGAUUUUACUGGAGUCCCAGCUGUUGUUGACCUAGAUUGCAUGCGUGAUGCAAUGAAUAAGCUUGGCAGUGAUUCUAAUAAGAUUAAUCCUCUGGUUGGCCCAGGUUCUUUACUUCAAGCCCCUUUGGAUGAUGAUGCUAGUAGAGGCACGGUGACAAAGCAUCUUUGAGACACACAGAGAUGCCCAAUAGAUUUGAUAACUCCACCUGAUGAUUGUCAUGUCAAUUAUACACUAUCCUUCUCUCUUCAAAUUUGUCAUGUUGAGGAUCUUCUUGUAAAUGGCAUUAUGAAAGGAAGCAUAGUUCACAUUCACAGGGCAAGAACUGUGAUUGUUGGCACUGAUGGUGUGAUUACUGCAUCAGAAUUAGGUUGCACUGAAGGUAUUGGAAAGGGAAACUUUUUGAAUGGAGCUGGUGGUGGUGUUGGACAUGGUGGAAGAGGAGGGUCUGGAUAUAAUGGGAGAGUGAGCAUUGGUGGUGAUGACUAUGGAAAUGCUAUUUUUCCGUGUGGAGGUGGAAUGAUUGAUAAAUAGUUUUGAAUACCUUUAACUUGAAUUAUUCAAGAAGGGAUUCUCUUUUUAUGUUUUUGGACUAUUGAGGUGGAUGUGGAUAGCUGCAAAUGCUAUAUCAUUGUGUUUAUACUUUAUAGUCCUUAUACAAAGGAAAUGAUCUAUUUUUAUAAUUUUCAGUUGAUAUUCAAUGAUUUUUUGUCAA